UGGGGAGUAUUGCACAAUGGGGGAAACCCUGAUGCAGCAACGCCGCGUGGGUGAAGAAGGCUCUUGGGUCGUAAAGCCCUUUCGACAGGAAAGAAGGGGCCAUAAGUUAAUAACUUGUGGUUCUGACGGUACCUGGUGAAGAAGCACCGGCUAAUUUCGUGCCAGCAGCCGCGGUAAUACGAAAGGUGCAAGCGUUGUUCGGAAUUAUUGGGCGUAAAGCGCACACAGGCGGAACCGUAUGUCGGUUGUGAAAUCCCCGGGCUCAACCUGGGAAUUGCAGCCGAAACUGCGGAUCUUGAAUACUUGAGAGGGUGGGAGAAUUCCUGGUGGAGAAGUGAAAUUCGUAGAGAUCAGGAGGAAUACCGGAGGCGAAGGCGCCUACCUGGCAAUGUAUUGACGCUCAAGUGCGAAAGCGUGGGGAGCAAACAGG
rnacentral:rRNA from 1 species